rnacentral:lncRNA from 1 species
CAGGAAAUCCAAACCCGAGGGGUCUUUAAUCAUCUCAAACUCUUAGUUAACUAGCCACUUCUUCUUCCAUCUUCAUCCAAUGAAUUUAGGAAUUUUCUCUACAACUCUUUAGAUUUCCAUGGAAUAUUGACUGUUUAUUUACUUGUUCAUGCAUAUGUUUUUUCUAUAUAAAUCACCUAUUUUUAUCUAUUUAAUCAAUCAAUGAAUGAAAUAUUUUGAAUACAUUAUUAUUAUCUCCCUUAAAUUUUUAUCUCUCUCAAUAUCUAUCUUUCUCAAGUCCUUAUAUUUCUCCUCUCACUCUCACUCUCUUUAUCUCAAACCCGAAUACAUAGUUUCUUAAAACAGAACCAUGUACCCGGGUCGUGACACACCUCCAAGGUGGCAUGCAAUAUGGUGUACGUUUUUGCAACAUGGAGAGUUGUAGGUUUAUCCUCCAGCAUUGGAUGUUUACUUUUCCACUCAUUUGAGAGGUAGGAUGAGAAGGAAAGAGUACAAGGUUUAUGAUAAUGGCAGUGUCUUUCUUGGGGGGUUGGAUUCUAUGGUUGGAGUAUUCUGCAGGGUCUUUAGUCAAUAUUACCAGCAUUCCUUGUCAUAUUUAGAACAAAGUGGUGCUUUUGAUUACAGACAUAAAUCGUAAGUUACUAAUAUGCCUAAUCAUCUGAUUAACUGUGAAAGAGACAAUUAGAGGGCUUUCGAACAGGUUUCUAGACCCAUCAGAUAUAAUUCUUAAUAUUUGGCUUCAAAUCCUUAGUCUGUGGAUGAAUAGUCACAAUCUCAUUGAGCAAGAAUAACUGAUGGACUUUGUGGAUAUUUUAUCUUGUAUCUUGUAACUAAUAUGUACCAUUCUUCUCAUGCGAGAAUAGAAUGUUAUGUUUUAUUAAUUACAUGGGAGUAUUUUACUAAUAUUCUUCUAUACAGUAAGUUACACAUAUAUACUUUCAAACAGUUCUUUUUAACAGAAAAGAAUAAGCUUAAACACAUAAUACAUCCUUGUACUAUUCCAUUUUUCUAUUUAAGCUCUUAAUGUAUAUUUUGGUCUAACCAGGUCCCUGUAGUUUUAGUAAUUUCUCAAAUGAGCCCCAAACUAAUCUUCUUCCUCGCCAACUAAAACUCCCCACCAAGCCCUAAGCUUGGACAAUCCCAACCCCAAAAACAUCCCAGUUCUUGANN